CCUACGGGAGGCAGCAGUGGGGAAUUUUGGACAAUGGGCGAAAGCCUGAUCCAGCCAUGCCGCGUGCAGGAUGAAGGCCUUCGGGUUGUAAACUGCUUUUGUACGGAACGAAAAGACUCUGGUUAAUACCUGGGGUCCAUGACGGUACCGUAAGAAUAAGCACCGGCUAACUACGUGCCAGCAGCCGCGGUAAUACGUAGGGUGCAAGCGUUAAUCGGAAUUACUGGGCGUAAAGCGUGCGCAGGCGGUUAUAUAAGACAGAUGUGAAAUCCCCGGGCUCAACCUGGGAACUGCAUUUGUGACUGUAUAGCUAGAGUACGGUAGAGGGGGAUGGAAUUCCGCGUGUAGCAGUGAAAUGCGUAGAUAUGCGGAGGAACACCGAUGGCGAAGGCAAUCCCCUGGACCUGUACUGACGCUCAUGCACGAAAGCGUGGGGAGCAAACAGGAUUAGAUACCCUGGUAGUCCACGCCCUAAACGAUGUCAACUGGUUGUUGGGUCUUCACUGACUCAGUAACGAAGCUAACGCGUGAAGUUGACCGCCUGGGGAGGUACGGCCGCGAGUAGAACGUACGAAAGAAGUAGACGCGUGAGACGUGCGACGGACGACGACGAGGGAGGAGG
rnacentral:rRNA from 1 species